UGAGCAGCUCUGUAUUAUGACACAUUCAGGUGAAGAUGAAGACAGGUGGAGUGGAAGGGGUUGCUGAUUGUUGAUUAGGGAUGGAAGGGUGGACUGGUAUGACGAUAGGGUGUUGGUUUCGCUGCGAUGAAGACAAGUGGAGACGGUGGUUUGACCCCGCCGAUAAGGUUUUCGACGGCAACCCUAGCCGCCCUUAAGGUUUCCGACCACAACUGUCGCGGUUCAGGUCAUCCACAUCCAUAUUACUUCUCUAUGAUUUCGGCAACAAAUUCAUCCAUACUUGCAUGUUUCAUAGAGGAUUUCUUCAACAAAUGCUAAACUUUAGCAGAUCACAAACUAGACCAAGGCCAAACCGAUCUCAUCCUUUGGGAGGUAAUUCAUUAUACACAUGUUGUUUGGAUCAUGAUUUCAAUAUUAUGAUUCUUAAUUUCGUCAUUAUUGUAAUGAUAUGGCCACAAGAUCAUUGACUUGUGUUAUUUUAUGUUAUAUCAAACUGAGCACGUCAAGUUAAAGUAUCAAUGAUGAUCAAUCUAUAAAGCUGGCUUUUAAAAGGCGCCACUGACAUGCACCUCAUGCACAAGGCUGGUCGCUUCUAAAUUGAAAAGUCCCAAUGUGUAUAGAAGGCAUACUAAAGGCGAGGCAGACGCACGGAAAAGUGGCUGGAAGCGGAAAAACAAACAAUAUGUUUGAUCAUGUGCCUAAAGCGGAUGCAGUUCUGUGAAUAGUAGAACUCCAGAAUGCAGGUGUUGUCGCUUACUGCUUUGGAGCUCCGUGUAUCACGAGUAAAUAAGUUUACCUAUUAGAAUUGGUCGAUGAGUUUUUAUGUUGGUGAUUUUGUGGAAACACAAUUUGUUUCGAAUUUCAUAUGAAACUAAUUACAAGAUUUGUAGGAAGCUGUUGGUGGAGUCUGCUACUUUGGUGCUUCUAUAAUGUCUUUAGUGCCAUCAGACAACUUUGGUGCUUAUAUAAUGCAAAGCCAAGUUGAAAGCCCGUUAAGAUUUGUAUCCUUCUUGGAAAAGCUAACUGAUCUUAAGAUGCUUCAAUGGCUAUGAUGGUCCGCUGAGCUUUCUGUUGUGAGAAUCAGUUUGCAUAUUGGUUGUGCAUAUAAGGUGUUCGUUAAAAAUGGCUAAAAGAUAGUGUUUGUGCAGUCGGCUAUGGUUAGUAUUUGCUACUUUUAAUUUUGAAAUGGUUCAAGGUCUAUGAUGCUUUUAGUUUUGUGAUGGUACAGGGGCUAUGAUGUUUGCGUAAGCCCUUUCGAGAACAUAUGACUGGUGUGGCUGAAUAUCUGCCUUUUUUAAUUUUCGAAUAGUUCUUUUUUUGUUCGCGUGGCUAUGUUUCAGGGGCUAUAAUGGUUGCCUGCACCCUCUAUUGAGUAUGCGCAUUGUUCUCAUGUGUAAUUUUGUGAUGGUACAGGAGCUAUGAAGUUCGCCUGAGCCCUUGUGUUUUUUUUAGAAACAAAGACAAUAACCUAUUCGGAACAGAAAAUUGCGUCAAAAACUCGAUUCCGUCACUACGACGGAACUGUCCAACCCAGAAGGAGGCAACGGUGUGGUACUUGAACUGUAUGGUGUGGUAUUCAGAUCGAAAAAUAAUCGGAAUCGUUGAUAAUUGGAUUUCCGGCGAGUUAUUUAACACGGCUAGGGAUCGGUGGGUUUGAUAAUGCGAUGAGUAACUUGGAAGUUAGGUUACAAACGCAAGCUGUCGGAGGAGAUUUGUUUCGGAAAUGGGCAUUUGAAAGUGUGACGUUUGGGUGGGAUUCGGUGACGAUCUACGAGAUGAUGCAAUGUACGCCUUAUUUAUCAAAGGAGCAGUGCAGUUUGUGUUUGUACGGACUGGUUUGAAGGUUUUGCCAACUGUGAUGUAAUUUAGUUCUAAGUAGAUUGUUCCUAAUUAUUUGAGUUGUAAUUGUGAAUCGUAUAGUUCGACUUUUUAUUGUCAAAUUGAUUACUCUUCAGU